UUUCAGUGUAGAAAACCAAAAUCUUGAAUGAAUGAUGCCUGUCUCAGAUGAGACUAAGAAUGAUAUGAUUGAUUAUAGACAAAAAUAUAGAAAUUUGAAGAGAAAGUUCAAAUUAUUAAUAUAUGAAAAUGAAUGUUUUCAAGAUGAAUUAAAAAAAGCUCAAAGAAAACUUCUUAAAGUUUCUAGAGAUAAAAGUUUUCUACUUGAUCGUCUUCUUCAAUAUGAAACAGUUGAAACAUCUUCAAGUGAUUCAGAUGCAACAGUAUCAAGUGAUAGUGAAGUUGAAAGAAAAGGAGAGAUAACGGCUGUCAGAAAGAAAAAACCUUUACCUAUAAUAAAUGCAGAAAAUCGAACCUCAACUACAUCAAUUGGUACAUCUGUAGUUAAUACAUCUGUUAUUUCUAGUGAUGCUAAAAAGAAAAAGUCUGCAAGAAAAACACAGCCACCCAAAGCAGGAGGAUCUAAAAUUAACCAGCCAUCAGAGUUUCGCGAAACUUUAUCAAUAAGUAGAGGUGAUGGACAUAUGACAUCAGAAGAAAUUGAAAGACAUCUGCAAGCAAAACAGCCACUUAGAGAUCUUUUGCCAGAAAAAGCUCCUCUUACCGUCCCAGCUGAAAUGUUUAGCAAUGAACCUACUGGAAUAGAAAACCCAAGUUAAUGUAGAGCAAGUAAAGAAGGCAGUGGUUCUACAGUUACUGCUGAUUUUAUAUCAUUGUUGCAAAUGUGUAUAUAUUUAUGUAUUUAAUUAACGGCAGAAAAACUGAAUUCUAUUAAGUCUCAUAAAUGUAUAAAAGCGGAGAAUCUCUAUAUUUUUGAACUGUAUUUAACUAUCACAAAUUUUGGAAAUUUAUAGAAGGAUCCAGUAUUUUACAAACUAUCAACUAUUUAAAAGAAAUAAACCUUGAGAAGAGGAGGAAGAAUCUAUGUGACAUCAUCAAUCAGUGAAAUUGGCAAUGAUUAAAUAAGAGAAUCUCCUGCUAAAACACAUUCCCAGAUAUUUAUGGAUGAAACUUAAUCAUUGAUUUACCAAAAAUAAAAAUAACAAAGAUAUUUAUUACUUUUAUGUGUACUUAUCUUUUAUCUAUGUACUAUGAAAAAUAAAAUUUUUCCAAUAUUUAUGAAUACAA